GACGAACGCUGGCGGCGUGCCUAAUACAUGCAAGUCGAGCGGACUUAAAAAGCUUGCUUUUUAAGUUAGCGGCGGACGGGUGAGUAACACGUGGGCAACCUGCCUGUAAGACUGGGAUAACUUCGGGAAACCGGAGCUAAUACCGGAUAAUCCUUUUCUACUCAUGUAGAAAAGCUGAAAGACGGUUUACGCUGUCACUUACAGAUGGGCCCGCGGCGCAUUAGCUAGUUGGUGAGGUAACGGCUCACCAAGGCGACGAUGCGUAGCCGACCUGAGAGGGGGAUCGGCCACACUGGGACUGAGACACGGCCCAGACUCCUACGGGAGGCAGCAGUAGGGAAUCUUCCGCAAUGGACGAAAGUCUGACGGAGCAACGCCGCGUGAGUGAUGAAGGUUUUCGGAUCGUAAAACUCUGUUGUUAGGGAAGAACAAGUACGAGAGUAACUGCUCGUACCUUGACGGUACCUAACCAGAAAGCCACGGCUAACUACGU
rnacentral:rRNA from 1 species